UGAUACAUAUUGGCAUCUCUUGAUCCAUCAAGAGUCCAUGUAAAUCCGGAAUGAACACGCAAAGGCAUAAUUCACCAUAUCCCUUCCAAAUCAAGUAGAGUCCAUGUGCUUUUCAAUACAUUUAGCAAACGCAUGCUCCUGUGGUUUGGAGCCACUUGAUUCGGAUGAAUGAAGUCCGUUUAAGAUCUUCAUGUAUAUCUCUGAUCCCAUAGAGAUGUUAUUAUGACCACAUUCAUAGGCUGCAUGUUCAGUUAUUCGGAAACUACCAAACUGACAAAGUAGUGGAGUUCAAUGACAUCCAUUAGGAGAGCAUAUCUCAUCGUAGUUGAUCUCAGUGCGUGUUAGUGAAAGACCUUGCGCCAUAAGGUGAGUCUAAGCUCUUACUCUCACUACGCUAUCUAACAAAGGCAUAGUUGAUAUGGUUUAGCUUGUGGUGUCGGCAUCACCUGCCCAAGGACCUAUCUCUUUGUUAAUGCUGGAUCGCAUCUUUCCAUUAGGCCAAUCAACUAAGUUGAUAUCCAUCAACGAAGGGUGGUUCGAUAGUAAACUCAUUAUCUCACGUCCUCAUGUACACUAGUGUAAUACUUGUAGAGAUCUCUAUAUGGAUUGGAUUUGACAUUGAGGCGUCUCCCAACGAUAAUCACAAUUCAGACUUCAUGAGACGGAUUUGAGUAUCACUGAUCAAUGGAUCAGGUUGUGCCAAGCUCGCUUUCUUUCUAGUGCAAGACAAUAUCGAACUUAAGGGCCUCCCUCCUUUUAGGGAGCCACACGGCCUUGUGACACCAAUUUUGCCAUUAUAUGGCGUCACCAUAUCACCAUCCAUGGUGAUGACGAACACUUUUUGGUCGCGCCAUGUCCUUUUGUAGGACAUCAAUCCUUACAGACAUAUUUGCAGCAUGUGAUCUCGUCACUUUAACACUAUAAGCAUUUGGGAUCAAGAUGAGACUUAGUGGGGACAAACCACGACAAUUCACGUCGUUCCACUUGAACACUUGUGUUCUUAUCUCCCCCUAACGGCGGAAAUAUUGUCUCAUCAAAGUGACAAUCCGCAAUUUAGCGGUGAAUGAGAUCGCCUGACAAGGUUCCUACAUAUGCAGAUUAUAGGUGGAGGUUCAUAUCCAACCUAAACUUAUUCAUCUCAAAUGACCCAUCAUUGUACGCAGUGGCAAUGCAAUUUGGCACCUAGAAAUAACAUCUAGCCGAGCUCAAGGAUUAGAGAUCCGUUUCAAUCCUACCGAGCUCAAGGAUUGCAAUUUCGUGUUAAUCCUGGUACACAGUCACGAGCUGUAGUACAACAAAAUUCAAUGAUGGUGGGUCGUAGAUGAAUAGUAAAGCUGCAUGCAUAUAUUGCAUAGCCCCAAGAUGCAAUAGAAAGAGUGGUGCGCAUCAAUAAUGUUCGAGUGACAAGCUAAAGUUGCUUGGUCGUAGCCUCGGUGAGACCGUAUUGCGUGUGAACAUGGGGUACAGGACACUUCAACUUACAUCCCGAUGAACUUUUUUAAAGAAUGGGUAGUGAGCCCGUAGAAGUAUAAGCAGUAUAAGCAGUAUAAGCAGUAUAAGCAGUAGAUAAUAGUGUAACACGUGACCAGUGUGUUAACACAUCAACCAACACCAUAAAGCAUAAAAAGGUGUCCGCAGUUGGUUGUAUCUAUCUACAUAGUUUGAUGUAAGAAUAGAAUGUUCACUUUUGUGUUAUUUAGCGUAGGAGGGUCUCACUCCUUAUUUAGCUAAAGAAUAGGCUUUCAAAACGAGCAAUGAGCAUUGCAGGGGGCCAAUGCGACAUCGAGGAAAGGCCGGUGCACCUCAAUUGCUUGAGGAAUUGACCGGACAACCUCCAGGAAGUUGGAGUCGUGUUCGGGUGACGUCAAUGUCCCCCGGGUCACCACCAUGCUUCAUGGUGAUGCUAGAUCUCGAAUGUCUUCGUUUUG
rnacentral:lncRNA from 1 species